rnacentral:rRNA from 1 species
UCGUCACACUAUCAUUAACUGAAUCCAUAGGUUAAUGAGGCGAACCGGGGGAACUGAAACAUCUAAGUACCCCGAGGAAAAGAAAUCAACCGAGAUUCCCCCAGUAGCGGCGAGCGAACGGGGAGGAGCCCAGAGCCUGAAUCAGCAUGUGUGUUAGUGGAAGCGUCUGGAAAGGCGCGCGAUACAGGGUGACAGCCCCGUACACAAAAGCGCAUGUGCUGUGAGCUCGAUGAGUAGGGCGGGACACGUGGUAUCCUGUCUGAAUAUGGGGGGACCAUCCUCCAAGGCUAAAUACUCCUGACUGACCGAUAGUGAACCAGUACCGUGAGGGAAAGGCGAAAAGAACCCCGGCGAGGGGAGUGAAAAAGAACCUGAAACCGUGUACGUACAAGCAGUGGGAGCACAGGUUUACCUGUGUGACUGCGUACCUUUUGUAUAAUGGGUCAGCGACUUAUAUUCUGUAGCAAGGUUAACCGAAUAGGGGAGYCGGAGGGAAACCGAGUCUUAAUUGGGCGUUAAGUUGCAGGGUAUAGACCCGAAACCCGGUGAUCUAGCCAUGGGCAGGUUGAAGGUUGGGUAACACUAACUGGAGGACCGAACCGACUAAUGUUGAAAAAUUAGCGGAUGACCUGUGGCUGGGGGUGAAAGGCCAAUCAAACCGGGAGAUAGCUGGUUCUCCCCGAAAGCUAUUUAGGUAGCGCCUCGUGAAUUCAUCUCCGGGGGUAGAGCACUGUUUCGGCUAGGGGGCCAUCCCGGCUU